rnacentral:siRNA from 1 species
UGGAUUAUGACUGAACGCCUC